rnacentral:rRNA from 1 species
UACGAAGGGUGCAAACGUUGCUCGGAAUUAUUGGGCGUAAAGCGCACGUAGGCGGCUUUGCAAGUCGGAUGUGAAAUCCCUCGGCUUAACCAAGGAAGUGCAUCCGAAACUGCAGAGCUUGAGUACUUAAGAGGAUCGCGGAAUUCCCGGUGUAGAGGUGAAAUUCGUAGAUAUCGGGAGGAACACCGGUGGCGAAGGCGGUCUGCUGGGCAGUAGCUGACACUGAGGCGCGACAGCGUGGGGAGCAAACAGG